UGAAUCAGUGUGUGUGUUAGUGGAAGCGUCUGGAAAGGCGCGCGAUACAGGGUGACAGCCCCGUACACAAAAAUGCACAUGCUGUGAGCUCGAUGAGUAGGGCGGGACACGUGGUAUCCUGUCUGAAUAUGGGGGGACCAUCCUCCAAGGCUAAAUACUCCUGACUGACCGAUAGUGAACCAGUACCGUGAGGGAAAGGCGAAAAGAACCCCGGCGAGGGGAGUGAAAAAGAACCUGAAACCGUGUACGUACAAGCAGUGGGAGCACGCUUAGGCGUGUGACUGCGUACCUUUUGUAUAAUGGGUCAGCGACUUAUAUUCUGUAGCAAGGUUAACCGAAUAGGGGAGCCGAAGGGAAACCGAGUCUUAACUGGGCGUUAAGUUGCAGGGUAUAGACCCGAAACCCGGUGAUCUAGCCAUGGGCAGGUUGAAGGUUGGGUAACACUAACUGGAGGACCGAACCGACUAAUGUUGAAAAAUUAGCGGAUGACUUGUGGCUGGGGGUGAAAGGCCAAUCAAACCGGGAGAUAGCUGGUUCUCCCCGAAAGCUAUUUAGGUAGCGCCUCGUGAAUUCAUCUCCGGGGGUAGAGCACUGUUUCGGCAAGGGGGUCAUCCCGACUUACCAACCCGAUGCAAACUGCGAAUACCGGAGAAUGUUAUCACGGGAGACACACGGCGGGUGCUAACGUCCGUCGUGAAGAGGGAAACAACCCAGACCGCCAGCUAAGGUCCCAAAGUCAUGGUUAAGUGGGAAACGAUGUGGGAAGGCCCAGACAGCCAGGAUGUUGGCUUAGAAGCAGCCAUCAUUUAAAGAAAGCGUAAUAGCUCACUGGUCGAGUCGGCCUGCGCGGAAGAUGUAACGGGGCUAAACCAUGCAC
rnacentral:rRNA from 1 species